rnacentral:rRNA from 1 species
GACGAACCGAGCGAACGUUAUUCGGAAUCACUGGGCUUAAAGGGCGCGUAGGCGGGCGGCCAAGUCAGGGGUGAAAGCCCCCAGCUCAACUGGGAAGGAUGCCGCUUUGAUACUGGUCAUCUCGAGGGAGAUAGGGGCGUGCGGAACUUCCGGUGGAGCGGUGAAAUGCGUAGAUAUCGGAAGGAACACCGGUGGCGAAAGCGGCGCGCUGGAUCUCUUCUGACGCUGAGGCGCGAAAGCCAGGGGAGCGAACGGG